rnacentral:rRNA from 1 species
GACGAACGCUGGCGGCGUGCUUAACACAUGCAAGUCGAGCGGAAAGGCCCUUUCGGGGGUACUCGAGCGGCGAACGGGUGAGUAACACGUGAGUAAUCUGCCCUUGGCUUUGGGAUAACCACCGGAAACGGUGGCUAAUACCGGAUAUGACGGGCUCCGGCAUCGGGGUUCUUGGAAAGUUUUUUCGGCCAGGGAUGUGCUCGCGGCCUAUCAGCUUGUUGGUGGGGUAAUGGCCUACCAAGGCUUCGACGGGUAGCCGGCCUGAGAGGGUGACCGGCCACACUGGGACUGAGACACGGCCCAGACUCCUACGGGAGGCAGCAGUGGGGAAUAUUGGACAAUGGGCGGAAGCCUGAUCCAGCAACGCCGCGUGAGGGAUGAC